rnacentral:rRNA from 1 species
AACGAACGCUGGCGGCGUGCUUAACACAUGCAAGUCGAACGCGAAAUUUUUCUUCGGAAGAAGAGUAGAGUGGCGCACGGGUGAGUAACGCGUAAGUUAUCUACCUCGGCAUCUGGAAUAACUCACCGAAAGGUGUGCUAAUACCGGAUACGUUGAGUAAUCAAGAAAGGUGGCCUCUGAAUAAGCUACUGUGCUUAGAUGAGCUUGCGUACCAUUAGCUAGUUGGUAGGGUAAUGGCCGACCAAGGCGACGAUGGUUAGCGGGUCUGAGAGGAUGAUCCGCCACACUGGAACUGGAACACGGACCAGACUCCUACGGGAGGCAGCAGUGAGGAAUAUUGCGCAAUGGGGGCAACCCUGACGCAGCGACGCCGCGUGGAUGAUGAAGGCCUUCGGGUCGUAAAAUCCUGUCAAGUGGAAAGAAGUGCAUAGUGGUUAAUACCUGCUAUGUUUGACGGUACCACUGAAGGAAGCACCGGCUAGCUCCGUGCCAGCAGCCGCCGUAA